rnacentral:rRNA from 1 species
GACGAACGCUGGCGGCGUGCCUAACACAUGCAAGUCGAGCGAACCGACGAGGAGCUUGCUCCUUUGACGUUAGCGGCGGACGGGUGAGUAACACGUGGGUAACCUAACUACCAGACUGGGAUAAUUUCAGGAAACCGGAGCUACGACCGGAUAAUAUUUCGAACUGCAUGGUUCGAGAGUGAAAGAUGGUUUUUCUAUCACUUAUAGAUGGACCUGCGGCUUUUUCGUUAGUUGGUAAGGUAGCGGCUUAACAAGGCAACGAUGGGGAGCCGACCUCAGAGCGAGGACGGCCACACGGGAACUGAGACACGGUCCAGACUCCUGCGCUGGGCCGCGGCAGGGACUCUUCCGGAAUGCGCGAAAGCGUAACGGUGCACCACCGCGUGAGUCAUGAUGGUGUACGGAUCGUAAAGCUCUGUUAUUCGGGGAGAAUAAACGUGUAAGUAACUGUGCAGGUCUUGACGGUACCGAGUCAAAAAGCCACGGCUAACUCCGUG